rnacentral:rRNA from 1 species
GCACAAGCGGUGGAGCAUGUGGUUUAAUCGAAGCAACGCGAAGAACCUUACCAGGUCUUGACAUCCCGAUGCUAUUUCUAGAGAUAGAAAGUUACUUCGGUACAUCGGUGACAGGUGGUGCAUGGUUGUCGUCAGCUCGUGUCGUGAGAUGUUGGGUUAAGUCCCGCAACGAGCGCAACCCUAUUGUUAGUUGCCAUCAUUCAGUUGGGCACUCUAGCGAGACUGCCGGUAAUAAACCGGAGGAAGUGGGGAUGACGUCAAAUCAUCAUGCCCCUUAUGACCUGGGCUACACACGUGCUACAAUGGUUGGUACAACGAGUUGCGAGUCGGUGACGGCGAGCUAAUCUCUUAAAGCCAAUCUCAGUUCGGAUUGUAGGCUGCAACUCGCCUACAUGAAGUCGGAAUCGCUAGUAAUCGCGGAUCAGCACGCCGCGGUGAAUACGUUCCCGGGCCUU